CAUCAUUGUAAUCUUAAGUACAUCAUGUAGCACACAGAAAAAAGGGAAAAGAUAUUUGAUGUCAUAAAAACAUUACCAAAAUUGUGAAAAAUAUAAAAUCGUAGCAAGGUGGGAUGCUAAAGGAAAAUUUUUCAUUUCAUAUAUUGUGCUCGUGCAGGCAGGCAACUCAAAAGUAUUAUGACUACCACUGAAUGGAGCACAUUUUAGACAUAAGCAAUUGUCUAGUCAUGGAAACUGAAACACAAGUACAAUCCGAGAUCUAGAGCCAAAAAGAAAUGAAUAUGUAAAAGAACUACGAUUUUACAAUUGCAAAUGCAGUGUUUUGAAAUUAGCGGCAUAUUUACCAAAAGCAUACAAUCAUAUCUGAGGACAUUAAUAAGGUCAUACCCACCACCUGCACCGCCCACGAUCAAUUUCACUGCCAGUAUGCUACAACAGUGUCAAAGUCAUCAUCAAACAUAUAAUAGCAACUUAACUUCUGAUUUAUUCUCACGCUAUAGCCCCAACCUAAUUUGAUUAUAUAGAAUCCCAAGUACCUAAGUUAGCAGCUAUUUUAUUUGCUUCAGAAAUAAAAUACUAACGAAUACAUAUGAGUUUCUUGGUCGUAUCACUUUUCAGUAAAGAAUAUCUUUUAUACAGGUUCCUAACCAGCGCGUGUUAUCAAUCAUGCCAUUAAGUUGUUACGAAAAGUAGAAAGGAAAGAAAGAUUUUUUUUGAAAGUUGAGCAAUUUGAUUGAGUUGAUAAGAGAUCAAUUAUUUGUAUAGUUAAUAUUCAUUAUACCCGGUCACCUUACGCAACACAAACCAAACACACAGGGAAAAAUAGUAAUUUAUUUUUAAAGUUUUUUUGCCCAGCGUCUUCAAUUAUUUUUCAUCCUCUUCACCAAACUACCAAAUCUACUUACCCUUCUCUCCAUCUUCAUCCAUCCCCCCACCAAAAAGGGCCUCAAAGUAAAAUUAAAAAUACCAUUCUCAUCAUAAGUCUAUUUUUUCUAAUAUGCAUCUACAAUGCAUUGAAACCUACAACCUAAUUUUGGACUUUACCACCAAUUUUGGACUUUACCACCAAUUCAUGGGUCAAGCCAUU
rnacentral:sRNA from 1 species